rnacentral:rRNA from 1 species
GUGGGGAAUAUUGGACAAUGGGCGAAAGCCUGAUCCAGCCAUGCCGCGUGUGUGAAGAAGGUCUUCGGAUUGUAAAGCACUUUAAGUUGGGAGGAAGGGCAGUAAGUUAAUACCUUGCUGUUUUGACGUUACCGACAGAAUAAGCACCGGCUAACUUCGUGCCAGCAGCCGCGGUAAUACGAAGGGUGCAAGCGUUAAUCGGAAUUACUGGGCGUAAAGCGCGCGUAGGUGGUUUUGUAAGUUGGAGGUGAAAUCCCCGGGCUCAACCUGGGAACUGCCUCCAAAACUGCAUGACUAGAGUACGGUAGAGGGUAGUGGAAUUUCCUGUGUAGCGGUGAAAUGUGUAGAUAUAGGAAGGAACACCAGUGGCGAAGGCGACUACCUGGACUGAUACUGACACUGAGGUGCGAAAGCGUGGGGAGCAAACAGGAUUAGAAACCCGAGUAGUCC